CGCGUAGGCGGUCUUGUCGGUCAGAUGUGAAAGCCCAGGGCUCAACCCUGGACGUGCAUUUGAAACAGCAAGACUUGAGUACGGGAGAGGAAAGCGGAAUUCCUGGUGUAGAGGUGAAAUUCGUAGAUAUCAGGAGGAACGCCGAUGGCGAAGGCAGCUUUCUGGACCGAUACUGACGCUGAGGCGCGAAGGCGUGGGUAGCGAACAGGAUUAGAUACCCUGGUAGUCC
rnacentral:rRNA from 1 species